GUGUGGCCACGGCAGAGCCGGCGCACUUGCCACAAAUAAGUUGGUUGUUUUUUUUACAAAAUUUUCUUCAACUUUACUCAAAGAGCCAUUUAAUCAAGACCUGGUUGAUACUUAUCUAGAAAUUAAUUAUUCCAUGCGUAUAAUAAUAGUUUACUCGUGAUAGAUCACACGCUGAGUUAAAAAAAAUCCAUGUCUUAAAUAAAAAUUGCAGAGUGAAAAGAACUUGGACACAUGUAAUACUGGGCUGGAUCUUGUCCAUGUUUUUGUAAAAGGCCGUCACUAAAUUUAUCAAAAAGAUUUUAUUCAAGAUCUUUGUCUAACUUUUUUUUAGGUUGAUUGACUUUUUUGGUGAGAAAACAAACUAAAAGUACAAUAGGACUGUUAUAGGAUCCUUAUAACACUUUAAAAAGCCCAAAUGUGAGGCCCAAACCAUUCUGUUAGCAUAAUCAACCCAAAAGCCUUCCCUGUACCACAAAGUUCAUGGAAAUGUAAUACAUCGAGAGGGGAUUUUCCAGAAACUAUGGUAACAAAAAUUUAAAUCACAAAUCAUUCAGACAACUCGCACGAGCUAGCGAUUUAUUCAAAGAUUGACUGAUGUCUUAAGUGGAUUUUGUUCCAAAAUUUAAAUCGUCUGUGGCAUGGAAGAGAAAAUGAAUAUAUGAAGAUUACAAACGACAUAUUAAUUACAAAAGUUAGAGAAAUACAUUUUGAGUGGUAGCCUUAUGUGAUUACUUUUUUUUUCUUCUUUUAGAAUUAAUUUUAACUUUUCGGCUUAAAAUGUUAAGCCUCAUUUCAUACAAAUUAUAUUUCAUUGUCAUUAAAAUUAGAUUUAUAAGAAAAGAAAUUAAUAAUGAAGAUUAUAAAUUAAAGGUGACUCGAUAUUAUGAGAAUCAACAAGAACAAUGCUAAAUGAAAUUUUGUAUUUAAA